UACGUAGGGCGCAAGCGUUAUCCGGAAUUAUUGGGCGUAAAGAGCUCGUAGGCGGUUUGUCGCGUCUGCUGUGAAAACCCGAGGCUCAACCUCGGGCCUGCAGUGGGUACGGGCAGACUAGAGUGCGGUAGGGGAGAUUGGAAUUCCUGGUGUAGCGGUGGAAUGCGCAGAUAUCAGGAGGAACACCGAUGGCGAAGGCAGAUCUCUGGGCCGUAACUGACGCUGAGGAGCGAAAGGGUGGGGAGCAAAC
rnacentral:rRNA from 1 species